rnacentral:rRNA from 1 species
AUUGAACGCUGGCGGCAGGCCUAACACAUGCAAGUCGAGCGGCAGCGGGACCUUCGGGUCGCCGGCGAGCGGCGGACGGGUGAGUAAUGCCUAGGAAUCUGCCUGUUAGUGGGGGAUAACGCGGGGAAACUCGCGCUAAUACCGCAUACGUCCUACGGGAGAAGGUGGGGGACCCUCGGGCCUCACGCUAACAGAUGAGCCUAGGUCGGAUUAGCUAGUUGGUGGGGUAAAGGCCCACCAAGGCGACGAUCCGUAACUGGUCUGAGAGGAUGAUCAGUCACACUGGAACUGAGACACGGUCCAGACUCCUACGGGAGGCAGCAGUGGGGAAUAUUGGACAAUGGGCGAAAGCCUGAUCCAGCCAUGCCGCGUGUGUGAAGAAGGUCUUCGGAUUGUAAAGCACUUUAAGUUGGGAGGAAGGGCGCUCGGUGAAUACCCAGGCGUCUUGACGUUACCGACAGAAUAAGCACCGGCUAACUUCGUGCCAGCAGCCGCAGUAAAAC